UGCGUAGGCGGAAUAUUAAGUCAGUGGUGAAAUCCUGCGGCUCAACCGUAGAACUGCCAUUGAUACUGAUAUUCUUGAAUGUAGUUGAGGUAGGCGGAAUGUGUAAUGUAGCGGUGAAAUGCUUAGAUAUUACACAGAACUCCGAUUGCGAAGGCAGCUUACUAAACUAUGAUUGACGCUGAGGCACGAAAGCGUGGGGAGCGAACAGGAUUAGAUACCCUGGUAGUCC
rnacentral:rRNA from 1 species